GGGUUAGUAGGUUGGUCAUGCCUCUGGUAUGUACUGGUCUCACUGAUUCCUCCUUCCUGAUGAACCUUAAUGCCAUUUAUUUGGUGUUUUGGGGAGUUUGGACUGUUACUUUGGAAAAAUUAGAGUGUUUAAAGCAAGCUAACGCUUGAAUACAUUAGCAUGGAAUAAUGAAAUAGGACGUUCGAUCCUAUUUUGUUGGUUUCUAGGACCGACGCA
rnacentral:rRNA from 1 species